UAGGGGAGUCAGGGCCAGGAGCCCCCCCCUGAGCCCAGGAUAACCCUCAAGAUUGGGGGGCA
rfam:Mesocricetus auratus contig016918, whole genome shotgun sequence.